UACGUAGGGCGCAAGCGUUGUCCGGAAUCAUUGGGCGUAAAGAGCUCGUAGGCGGCCUGUUGCGUCCGCUGUGAAAUCCCGGGGCUUAACCCCGGGCGUGCAGUGGAUACGGGCUGGCUGGAGGCAGGCAGGGGAGAACGGAAUUCCCGGUGUAGCGGUGAAAUGCGCAGAUAUCGGGAGGAACACCGGUGGCGAAGGCGGCGACCUGGGCCAAUAUUGACGCUGAGGUGCGAAAGCGUGGGGAGCAAACAGG
rnacentral:rRNA from 1 species